UGGCUUAGUGGUUAAGAGCACUGACUGCUAAUCCAGAGGUCCUGGGUUCAAAUCCCAG
rfam:Rattus norvegicus chromosome 7, whole genome shotgun sequence.